rnacentral:rRNA from 1 species
UACUACUUGGAUAACCGUGGUAAUUCUAGAGCUAAUACAUGCUAAAAAUCCCGACUCCGGAAGGGAUGUAUUUAUUAGAUUAAAAGCCAAUGCCCUCUGGGCUCACAGGUGAUUCAUGAUAACUUCUCGAAUCGCAUGGCCUUGCGCCGGCGAUGGUUCAUUCAAAUUUCUUCCCUAUCAACUUUCGAUGCGAAGGUCUUGUCUUCGCAUGGUUACAACGGGUAACGGAGGGUUAGGGCUCGACCCCGGAGAAGGAGCCUGAGAGACGGCUACUACAUCCAAGGAAGGCAGCAGGCGCGCAAAUUACCCAAUCCCGACACGGGGAGGUAGUGACAAAAAAUACUGAUACAGGGCUCUUUUGGGUCUUGUAAUUGGAAUGAGUACAAUUUAAAUCCCUUAACGAGGAACAAUUGGAGGGCAAGUCUGGUGCCAGCAGCCGCGGUAAUUCCAGCUCCAAUAGCGUAUAUUAAAGUUGUUGUGGUUAAAAAGCUCGUAGUUGAACCUUGGGCCUGGCUGGCCGGUCCCCCUCACCGGGUGCACUGAUCCAGCCGGGCCUUUCCCUCUGUGGAACCCCAUGGCCUUCACUGGUCGUGGCGGGGAAACAGGACUUUUACUUUGAAAAAAUUAGAGUGCUCCAGGCAGGCCUAUGCUCGAAUACAUUAGCAUGGAAUAAUAGAAUAGGACGCGUGGUUCUAUUUUGUUGGUUUCUAGGACCGCCGUAAUGAUUAAUAGGGACAGUCGGGGGCAUCAGUAUUCAAUUGUCAGAGGUGAAAUUCUUGGAUCUAUUGAAGACUAACUACUGCGAAAGCAUUUGCCAAGGAUGUUUUCAUUGAUAAGGAACGAAAGUUAGGGGAUCGAAGACGAUCAGAUACCGUCGUAGUCUUAACUAUAAACUAUGCCGACUAGGGAUCGGACGAUGUUAUUCUUUGACUCGUUCGGCACCUUUCGAGAAAUCAAAGUGCU